AUGUCUUUUGAUGUAAUUUACUCACAUUAUUUCUCAUUUGUGACUCCAGUGGGCUCACAGGAAGGACAGACUCAGUCUCCUAUAAAAUGGAUACUCGCAUUCUCCCCGGGAUCCUGCUGUGUGAAGAGCCCCACUACUGUAGGACCAGUUUCCCCAUCUGGAAAAUGGAUCACUCUGCCCAAUCCAUCUCACUCAAGAACCAUUUUUGAAGGUAAAAUCAACAGAAGAAUACAGUUUCAGUUUUCUACCAUUACCUGAAUCCAUGAAGCAGAUGAUCCUCCUUCUGAUGAAUCAUCAGACGGUCAAUAGCCAAUAGCUGCCUAAUUCACCUCAGGAUGCCUGUCAUUCACCUCCCUUCCUCUCGUUGCAUAGGCGGUUUAUCAUCUCACCUCAUCCCAAGAAGAAGGGUGAGUACAGUACAAUAAGAUAUUUUGAGCGAGAGUCAGUACACUCACAAUAUGUUGUUACAAUUGUUCUAUUUUAUUAUUAGUCAUUGCACUUCAUCUUGUGCCAAAUUCAUAAAUUUAACUUAUCAUAGGUCUGUAUGUAUAGGGAAAAAGCAGUAUAGGUAGAGCUCAGUACUAUCCAUGGUUUUGGGCACCCACUGGGGGUCUUGGAAGUAUCCUCCUCAGAUAAGGGGACAAUUGAAAUGCAAAUAGAUUUGUUUCUAUAACUUCUAAAGUUUAUCUGAGAGAAUAAAUGCACGUGAGUAGCAAAACUAUAGUUGAAA
rnacentral:lncRNA from 12 species